rnacentral:rRNA from 1 species
UACGGGGGGGGGCAAGCGUUGUUCGGAAUUACUGGGCGUAAAGGGCUCGUAGGCGGCCAACUAAGUCGGACGUGAAAUCCCCAGGCUCAACCUCGGAACUGCCUUUGAUACUGCAAAUCUCGAGUCCGGAAGAGGUGAGUGGAAUUCCUAGUGUAGAGGUGAAAUUCGUAGAUAUUCAGGAGAACACCGGUGGCGAAGGCGGGUCUC